rnacentral:lncRNA from 1 species
UCAGAUUGAGCUCACACUAUCUAUAGCUAUAUUGUAGUUGUUUAUUUGCCACAAUAUUGAACCAACCUCACAUCAAACCACAUUUUUCGAUCUUAAAGUCAGAUUUAUCUAUCACUUAGGAAGGGGUCAGAAAAUUGAUUUGGCAACAUUUAUUUAUGAGCAUAUUUUCUCCCACGGUGUUUAGGAAGACUGUCAACGCUCUCUGAUAUUUCCAAAUCUAAUCAAUGGGAUUUGCAAGAGCUCAUGCAUCACUAUCCCAUAUGGGGAACUCUCAAGAGCCUAGCAUUUUUAUUAAGCGCACUACUUUGAAGGCUUGAGGAUAGAGCUCAGGAGAAGUAUAGAGAGAGAUAAGAGAGGAAACACUGACGUCAACAGUCGGCUGUUCAAGGUUAGGGGGCUGAGGAUGUUGAGAUGCCCUAGGCACCACCACCGUCAAUGGACGUCAAUACACAGUUGUUGCUACAAAUGUUAGCCACUCUUACUAGUACUAGCCGAAAUAUUCAAGUCUUCAACAGGCUUUUGGGGCCAUGCAAACUAAUAUCCAGGUAAUGCGGGAUGAUAUGUCUUCCGUAAGGAAUUUUACAUCCAUUACCAGUAGAGAGUCCUUGGCUACCAGGAUAGAGCUUGGGACUUUGAAUGGACAGUUGAGCACUUACAUAGGCCAUGUUGAUGGGAUCUGGUUGAGAGCUGAUGAGACAUGGAACUGAGUUGCGAAAGCAGUGCACACUGAUUCAGGGUAUGAAGGAUAGCUUGAUGAGAAUUUUGGCAUGAUGAGGGGGAAGGGAAAGGAGGAUCUUGGUUAAACCUUUCGAUUCCAUAUACACAAGCCAUUGAACAUUUGUACAAAUAGAAAAGAUAUUUCAUAUAUGUGAUG